AUUGAACGCUGGCGGCAGGCCUAACACAUGCAAGUCGAACGAGUGGCGGACGGGUGAGUAAUGUCUGGGAAACUGCCUGAUGGAGGGGGAUAACUACUGGAAACGGUAGCUAAUACCGCAUACCAUAGGAUGUGCCCAGAUGGGAUUAGCUAGUCGGUGGGGUAAAGGGUCACCUAGGCGACGAUCCCUAGCUGGUCUAAGAGGAUGACCAGCACCGCUGGCACUGAGACACGGUCCAGACUCCUGCGGGAGGCAGCAGUGGGGAAUGAUGCACAAUGGGCGCAAGCCUGAUGCAGACAUGCGGGGUGUAUGAAGAAGGCCUUCGGUUUGUAAAGUACUUCCAGCAGGGAGGCGUUAGCAACAGAAUAAGCACGGGCUAACGCCGUGCCAGCAGCCGCGGUAAUUG
rnacentral:rRNA from 1 species